CCCUGUUGGUACAACACUUCCCCCUCCCCCCUGGCCCAGCCAGCUUGGGUUUCCCAGUGGGGACAGGUGCCACCUUUCAAUCACGCCAUGUCCUUCCCGUCCGACCUGGCCGCACCGGCCCCGAGUCCUCCUUCCUGAACUCUGGCAGCAGUCAGUGAACCUCAGGGAGCCAUAGCCCCAGCCCUGGGGCCACCCCACCCCUCCAGAGUCUGGACCCCAUGUGCUUAGCCCCUGCCCAGCUCUGCUCAUCUCCCUGAAGCAGCUGCAGGGACACCAGGCCUACAGGCCCGGAGCAGCCCAGGUUGGGCCUCAAACCCCAGCAAUCUUCCUGCCUCGGCCUCCCAAGUACUGGAUGACAGGAUAGACUUUUAGACAGAGGGGUCAGACUCGCUACCUGGGAGGGGCGGCCUGAACCUGCAGAUGCAUGGUGACUGCUGGUGGCCAAGCGGCCUCUAUGGAGAAAUGCUCGGUUGGCUGGAGCAGCAGAGGAGGCAGACUGCAGUGACCGGCGAGUUAUUCGGGUUCAGGAUCCCCCAGGAGAGGGGGCAACUGAGCUGGGAACUCAAGAGCACUGUGGCGGCUCUCCCAGCAAGCCUGCAGGAGACACUGGGGGUGGGGGUGCUUCACGGAUGAGCACAUUGCAUUCCGCCUCACCACCAGAAAUCGCCUGAGCGCCGCGGAACCGUGGCCUGCCGGGUUAAUCAGCUUGGUCUGGACUCUGUCUGCCCAUGGCGCCCACCAGUGACAGCAAAGACUCGCCUCGGGUGGACAUUGUUCUUCUGUUUUCCUUUUUUCUUGAUCCUGUUUUUCUGUGUGUGUGAACAUGGAUUCUAGCUCUCUUGUUGUUGCUCUGUUCUCCUCUUACUUCUUCCCUUUCUUUUCCCCUCUCGUCUUCUUUCCAGUUUUCCAAAGUCUGCACCAUCUUCCCUUGUUCUCAGCUUUGCUUCUAAUCUCUUCCUCUUCUCUCAGUUUCUCUAUUUUUCUCCCCUUAACCCCUUUUAAACUUUUCCCCGAGGAUAAAAUUGCCAUACUGAAAGUUUAUUUAACUAUGUACAAUUUUCUGGUUUGUUUUAGAUUUUGUUUAUAACCACAAAUCUGGUUCAUAGCAUUAAAGGUAGCAGAUUAA